UACGUAGGGUGCAAGCGUUGUCCGGAAUUAUUGGGCGUAAAGAGCUCGUAGGCGGGCGGCCAAGUCAGGGGUGAAAUCGUUCGGCCCAACCGGACAAGGGCCCCUGAUACUGGCUGUCUCGAGGGAGGUAGGGGUCGAUGGAACUUCCGGUGGAGCGGUGAAAUGCGUAGAUAUCGGAAGGAACGCCGGUGGCGAAAGCGAUCGACUGGACCUCUUCUGACGCUGAGGCGCGAAAGCCAGGGGAGCAAACGGG
rnacentral:rRNA from 1 species